rnacentral:tRNA from 1 species
GAGGGUAUAGCUUAGUGGUAGAGUGCAUGCUUAGCAUGCAUGAGGUCCUGGGUUCAAUCCCCAGUCCCUCCA